AGCGCAAUCAAAACGCGAAAGGGGAGACAACGGGAAAGCACUCCUGGACCCCACUCUUCAAUUUUACACAACCACACCAUCAAACCCUGCUUAAAAUCUAGCGAGACUCACAGAGAGAGACAGCGAGAGAGAGAGAGAUUCUAAUUCGAGAGAGAGAGAGAGAGAGAGAGCGUCACCGCCUCUCCCCCCUUUUUUCAUAUUUCCCUCUCUCCCAAACCCCUUCCCUCUCACAAACACACACAUAAAUCUCGCUUUCAUUACACGCCUCUAUUGACACGAUGGCGUGGACAGAGCAGGAUGUUGGUAGUGGCAAAGAGAAGGAAGUUAUUGGGGAUAAUGGGUACUUGCAAGAAGGGAAACUGUCUCCCGCUGCCAAAGAAACCACCCGGGGUUGCACCAGUCCUGUUGAAAAUGCUUUUGAUGGCAAGGAUGCACUCUCUUAUGCCAACAUUCUUCGCUCUAGGAAUAAAUUUGUUGAUGCACUUGCCAUUUAUGAGAGCAUUGUGGAAAAAGAUGGUGGAAAUGUUGAAGCCUAUAUUGGCAAAGGAAUUUGCCUGCAGGCGCAAAAUAUGUUAAGGCCUGCUUUCGAGAGUUUUUCGGAAGCUAUUAAGCUGGAUCCAGAAAAUUCUUGUGCCCUCACUCAUUGUGGGAUUUUGUACAAAGACGAAGGUCGACUGGUCGAGGCUGCUGAGUCGUAUGAGAAGGCUUUGAAAGCAGAUUCUGGCUACAAACCUGCAGCAGAGUGCUUAGCAGUAGUGCUAACAGAUCUUGGUACCAGCCUAAAGCUUGCUGGCAACACCCAGGAGGGUAUCCAAAAGUAUUAUGAAGCUAUCAAGAUUGAUCAACAUUAUGCACCUGCAUAUUAUAAUCUUGGAGUUGUUUAUUCCGAGAUGAUGCAGUAUGACAUGGCACUUAAUUUUUACGAGAAAGCUGCACUGGAAAGGCCCAUGUAUGCGGAAGCAUAUUGCAAUAUGGGGGUUAUCUAUAAGAAUCGUGGAGAGUUGGAGUCUGCUAUCACUUGUUAUGAGAGGUGUCUGGCUGUUUCUCCAAACUUUGAGAUUGCAAAAAAUAAUAUGGCCAUUGCUUUGACAGAUUUAGGGACAAAGGUAAAAUUAGAGGGCGAUAUUAACCAAGGCGUGGCAUAUUACAAAAAAGCUCUGUACUAUAACUGGCAUUAUGCCGAUGCCAUGUACAAUCUAGGGGUUGCAUAUGGUGAAAUGUUGAAGUUCGACAUGGCAAUUGUGUUCUACGAACUUGCUUUCCACUUUAACCCUCACUGUGCGGAGGCAUGCAACAAUUUAGGUGUCAUAUAUAAAGACCGUGACAAUCUUGAUAAAGCUGUCGAAUGUUAUCAGCUGGCAUUAUCAAUCAAGCCGAACUUUUCUCAAUCAUUAAAUAAUCUUGGGGUAGUUUUUACUGUCCAGGGUAAAAUGGAUGCUGCUGCGAGCAUGAUAGAAAAAGCUAUUGUUGCGAACCCAACAUAUGCGGAAGCUUAUAAUAACUUAGGGGUGCUGUAUAGAGAUGCUGGUGAUAUAACUUUGGCUAUUGAAGCUUACGAGCAGUGCCUUAAGAUAGAUCCUGAUUCUCGUAAUGCAGGGCAGAAUCGAUUACUUGCAAUGAACUACAUACAUGAGGGAACUGAUGAUAAACUCUUUGAAGCUCACAGAGAUUGGGGUAGGCGUUUCAUGAAGUUAUAUCAGCAGUAUACAUCUUGGGAUAACCCCAAAGAUCCAGAAAGGCCACUUGUUAUUGGAUAUGUAUCUCCAGAUUAUUUUACUCAUUCUGUAUCAUAUUUUAUCGAGGUUCCCCUUAUUUUUCAUGACUAUGCCAACUACAAGGUGGUUGUUUAUUCAGCAGUUGUGAAGGCUGAUGCGAAAACCAAUAGAUUUAGAGACAGAGUCUUGAGGAAGGGAGGGAUAUGGAGAGAUAUCUACGGGAUUGAUGAGAAGAAAGUCGCAAGCAUGGUUAGAGAAGACAAGGUUGACAUCUUGGUAGAAUUAACUGGUCACACUGCAAAUAAUAAGUUGGGAAUGUUGGCUUGCAAACCUGCACCUGUUCAGGUUACCUGGAUUGGAUACCCAAAUACAACUGGUUUGCCGACCAUAGAUUACAGAAUAUCUGAUCCGCUGGCUGAUCCUCCUAAUACGAAACAGAUGCAUGUGGAAGAGUUGGUCCGGUUACCAGAAUGCUUUCUUUGUUAUACACCGUCUCCUGAAGCUGGACCCCUGACUCAGACUCCUGCUCUUUCCAAUGGAUUCAUCACAUUUGGAAGCUUUAACAAUCUAGCAAAGGUACAAAUCAGAUAACACCCAAAGUAUUGCAAGUUUGGGCAAGAAUUCUAUGCGCGGUUCCAAAUUCACGUCUUGUUGUGAAGUGUAAGCCUUUUUGUUGUGAUAAUGUGAGACAGAGAUUUCUUUCGACCUUGGAGCAAUUAGGAUUGGAAUCACUGCGAGUUGACCUUUUGCCUCUCAUCCUCUUCAAUCAUGAUCAUAUGCAAGCCUAUGCUCUUAUGGAUAUCAGCUUGGAUACUUUUCCAUAUGCGGGAACCACAACUACCUGUGAAUCUUUGUACAUGGGAGUUCCUUGUGUCACUAUGGGAGGUUCAGUACAUGCCAACAAUGUUGGCGUGAGUCUCCUCAAUGCAGUCGGACUAGGACAUCUGGUUGCAAGAACUGAAGAUGAAUAUGUCGAACUGGCACUGCAGUUGGCCUCCGAUGUUGCGGCUCUCUCAAAUCUGAGACUGGGUCUGCGAGAUCUGAUGGCCAACUCCCCUCUCUGUGAUGGAGCUAAAUUUUGCAGUGGUUUAGAGUCGGCAUACAGGAAUAUGUGGAGCAGGUAUUGCAAGGGUGAUGUGCCAUAUUUAAAGCGAAUGGAGCUUUUGCAGCAGCAGGCGCCUCAGGAACAAAUUGCUUCCAAGGAGUCUGCAGUCGAAGUAUUAUCAGAAUCAACAAAGUUCACAAUCUCCAAAGGUUCUUCUCCCGAGCCUACCAUGGCAAAUGGAUUUAAUACAGGCCCCUCUUUACUAAAGCCUUCCGCUAGUGAACAAAAUGCAAUAAGUCUACCAACCUAAUAUGUGAGGUCUGUGUAAUUUUAAGGUUCACAUGUUAAGUAAGUAGGGUAUUGUUCUCAGUUAUUCAAGCUUGUAAUAUAUGCUGGCGUUUGAAUAUGGUGGCAACCACCUCUUAUUAGGUUCAUUUUUUAUGGGAAAGAGGGCUGGUUAUACUUCAAAUCUCCAAUUAAUCUGGUAGGAAAAGAGUUGGGUGUUUUCACCAAGUAAUAUAUACGGGAUUGGAUUUUUCGUGUUGCAUCUCUUUCCCUUAUAGUCCAAGACAGAUGGUUUGUUAUAUAUAUACAAGGAUCCGUUUUAUACACCA